AUUGAACGCUGGCGGCAUGCCUUACACAUGCAAGUCGAACGGCAGCACGGGAGCUUGCUCCUGGUGGCGAGUGGCGAACGGGUGAGUAAUGCAUCGGAACGUGCCCUGAAGUGGGGGAUAACGUAGCGAAAGUUACGCUAAUACCGCAUAUUCUGUGAGCAGGAAAGCAGGGGAUCUUCGGACCUUGCGCUUUUGGAGCGGCCGACGUCGGAUUAGCUAGUUGGUGGGGUAAAGGCCCACCAAGGCGACGAUCCGUAGCGGGUCUGAGAGGAUGAUCCGCCACACUGGAACUGAGACACGGUCCAGACUCCUACGGGAGGCAGCAGUGGGGAAUUUUGGACAAUGGGCGCAAGCCUGAUCCAGCCAUGCCGCGUGAGUGAAGAAGGCCUUCGGGUUGUAAAG
rnacentral:rRNA from 1 species